GAGGACAUAGCUCAGUGGUAGAGCGCGUGCUUAGCAUGCACUAUUCAAUCCCUGGAUUCAAUCCCCAGUACCUCCA
rnacentral:tRNA from 1 species